CACAGGUGCUGCAUGGCUGUCGUCAGCUCGUGUCGUGAGAUGUUGGGUUAAGUCCCGCAACGAGCGCAACCCUUACCAUUAGUUGCCAUCAUUUAGUUGGGCACUCUAAUGGGACUGCCGGUGACAAACCGGAGGAAGGUGGGGAUGACGUCAAGUCCUCAUGGCCCUUAUGGGUAGGGCUUCACACGUCAUACAAUGGUUGGUACAGAGGGUUGCCAAGCCGCGAGGUGGAGCUAAUCUCAGAAAGCCGAUCGUAGUCCGGAUCGCAGUCUGCAACUCGACUGCGUGAAGUCGGAAUCGCUAGUAAUCGUGGAUCAGCAUGUCACGGUGAAUACGUUCCCGGGUCUU
rnacentral:rRNA from 1 species